UNUGACUUGAGUGCAGAAGGGGAGAGUGGAAUUCCAUGUGUAGCGGUGAAAUGCGUAGAUAUAUGGAGGAACACCAGUGGCGAAAGCGGCUCUCUGGUCUGUCACUGACGCUGAGGCUCGAAAGCGUGGGUAGCGAACAGGAUUAGAUACCCUGGUAGUCCACGCCGUAAACGAUGAGUGCUAGGUGUUUGGCCCUUUCCGGGGCUUAGUGCCGGAGCUAACGCAAUAAGCACUCCGCCUGGGGAGUACGACCGCAAGGUUGAAACUCAAAGGAAUUGACGGGGGCCCGCACAAGCGGUGGAGCAUGUGGUUUAAUUCGAAGCAACGCGAAGAACCUUACCAGGUCUUGACAUCCCGAUGCUAUUCUUAGAGAUAGGAAGUUACUUCGGUACAUCGGAGACAGGUGGUGCAUGGUUGUCGUCAGCUCGUGUCGUGAGAUGUUGGGUUAAGUCCCGCAACGAGCGCAACCCUUAUUGUUAGUUGCCAUCAUUAAGUUGGGCACUCUAGCGAGACUGCCGGUAAUAAACCGGAGGAAGGUGGGGAUGACGUCAAAUCAUCAUGCCCCUUAUGACCUGGGCUACACACGUGCUACAAUGGUCGGUACAACGAGUUGCGAGCCGGUGACGGCAAGCUAAUCUCUGAAAGCCGAUCUCAGUUCGGAUUGGAGGCUGCAACUCGCCUCCAUGAAGUCGGAAUCGCUAGUAAUCGCGGAUCAGCACGCCGCGGUGAAUACGUUCCCGGGCCUUGUACACACCGCCCGUCACACCACGAGAGUUUGUAACACCCGAAGUCGGUGAGGUAACCUUUUAGGGGCCA
rnacentral:rRNA from 1 species